rnacentral:rRNA from 1 species
UGGGGAAUUUUGGACAAUGGGGGAAACCCUGAUCCAGCCAUCCCGCGUGUGCGAUGAAGGCCUUCGGGUUGUAAAGCACUUUUGGCAGGAAAGAAACGUCGUGGGUUAAUACCCCGCGAAACUGACGGUACCUGCAGAAUAAGCACCGGCUAACUACGUGCCAGCAGCCGCGGUAAUACGUAGGGUGCAAGCGUUAAUCGGAAUUACUGGGCGUAAAGCGUGCGCAGGCGGUUCGGAAAGAAAGAUGUGAAAUCCCAGAGCUUAACUUUGGAACUGCAUUUUUAACUACCGGGCUAGAGUGUGUCAGAGGGAGGUGGAAUUCCGCGUGUAGCAGUGAAAUGCGUAGAUAUGCGGAGGAACACCGAUGGCGAAGGCAGCCUCCUGGGAUAACACUGACGCUCAUGCACGAAAGCGUGGGGAGCAAACAGGAUUAGAUACCCUGGUAGUCCACGCCCUAAAACGAUGUCAACUAGCUGUUGGGGUCUUCGGACCUUGGUAGCGCAGCUAACGCGUGAAGUUGACCGCCUGGGGAGUACGGUCGCAAGAUUAAAACUCAAAUGAAUUG